CUCCCGUUGCCAGGCGACGCGAGCAGCGUUUCCCAAACCAAACAUCCCCAUCCCGCUCCCGCCUCACGAAAUAUGUCAGCGGGUAUUUUCAGGAGCCCGGGGAAGGCAGGAUGGACAAAUAACGCCUUUGCCAUGGAACUGCCCUGCACGAGAAGAGUAAACCCAGAAAUAUUCUAAAGGAGGCAAAUAAUCUUUUGCUGGAGAUGUUCAGAGCAGCAUUCAACAGAGAGCAGCUACUUAUGGAAGCAACUUAAAAAUAACAACUGGAAAUGAAAAAGUCAGAAUUUGAAGAGUCUCCCUGGCAAAGGGAUAACACAGACAGCACCUGCAGCUCUCUGAGGUGAUCUGAGAGCAUUUACCCUCAUUAAUAAAAAAGUCAAUCAAACCAAGCUCAUUCAA